CAGGACGAGGGGAUUGCGCUGU
rnacentral:miRNA from 1 species